rnacentral:rRNA from 1 species
ACAGAGGGUGCGAGCGUUAAUCGGAAUUACUGGGCGUAAAGCGCGCGUAGGCGGCUUUGCAAGUCGAGUGUGAAAUCCCCAGGCUCAACCUGGGAACUGCCUUCUAGACUGCAAGUCUUGAGAUCAGGAGAGGCGAGUGGAAUUCCGAGUGUAGAGGUGAAAUUCGUAGAUAUUCGGAGGAACACCAGUGGCGAAGGCGACUCGCUGGACUGAUACUGACGCUGAGGUACGAAAGCGUGGGGAGCAAACAGGA